rnacentral:rRNA from 1 species
GGCCAGACUCCUACGGGAGGCAGCAGUGGGGAAUAUUGCACAAUGGGGGAAGCCCUGAUGCAGCGACGCCGCGUGGAGGAAGAAGGUCUUCGGAUUGUAAACUCCUGUCCUUGGGGACGAUAAUGACGGUACCCAAGGAGGAAGCACCGGCUAACUACGUGCCAGCAGCCGCGGUAAAACGUAGGGUGCAAGCGUUGUCCGGAAUUACUGGGUGUAAAGGGAGCGCAGGCGGAUUGACAAGUUGGGAGUGAAAACUACGGGCUCAACCCGUAACCUGCUUUCAAAACUGUCAGUCUUGAGUGGUGUAGAGGUAGGCGGAAUUCCCGGUGUAGCGGUGGAAUGCGUAGAUAUCGGGAAGAACACCGAUGGCGAAGGCAGCUCGCUGGGCCGACACUGACGCUGAGGCGCGAAAGCUGGGGGAGCGAACAGGAUUAGAUACCCCGGUAA